UGGUCAUUAUGACGUCCUAUACAAGGCUGACAUAGCCAAUGGGGCUCCAGAUGACGUCUCUGCUCAGUCUUAGGUUCUUGCCAUUUGGAGAUGACUUCAGUGAAUUUGGUGGCUGAGGCUACUGCUGAGGUCAGCGCUGGUGCUGCUGAGGUCAGCGCUGGUGCUGCUGAGGUCAGCGCUGGUGCUGCUGAGGUCAGCGCUGGUGCUGCUGAGGUCACCGCUGGUGCUGCUGAGGUCACCACUGGUGCUGCUGAGGUCAGCGCUGGUGCUGCUGCUUUGGGUGGCGACUUUCAUCGUUGUUAAAAAUUUUGAGAAUUUUUAGUGUAAAUUGUGCGGCUGGUUUUGUCUGUUCUCAUUUGACAAGAUUUUCAUCUGCUAGAAGCCUCUGUGCGCCAGGCUGCGCUUGUCUCUCUAAUUGUUUAGUAUGCGUGAAUGCAUAUUUUCAUAUUCAUUCCUGAUUAGGAAUCAUUGCCAUGCUAGUAUUUAUAUACAUUAGAAUUGAUCAAAUUUCUCUCCAAUAUACUCAUCUAAUAUUACUUUCUCAUCAGAAAUUUGUAUAAAAAUAUGCUGAGUAAAAAUAACUUUCUGCUAAUCAAGAGAACCGCUUAUUUCAUGAGCGCCUUUAGCCACAAGAAAUAGGCGACUGGUGGUCCUUAUGUAUUCCAUGCAUGAUCUUUUAGCUCCUAGAUAAUUUAUUUAUUGCAAAAUCAUUUUCAUUAAUUCAUCGGUAAAUACGUGCGACGUGUUCUUUAAGAAAUAUUUGCGCAUGUUCAUUAUUCACUCCUGAAAUUUGAUUUAGUUUGGUUCAAGUUCUAAUAAAGUUAAGUUUAGUUCAAGUUUCCCGAAUUCCUGUACAGUGACAUUAAUUGGAAUGCUUUUUCCAUUGAUCAACUAGCACAAUAUCAGGUCCUUGUGCUUCUAAAUUGUAGUCUGUGCUGCUCGAAAUUUUUACUUUCUCUUGACCUUAGGAAGAUUUUUCUUGCAGCUUUACCACUACUUCGACCUUAUAAAGUUGAUACAGUAGUUUAAUAUUGAGCUCCUGAAUUAAUAACUUAUUUCUAAUUUAGUUCAGGUUUGAAAUCGACAGGAAUAAAGCAGGAGAACGUUCAGCAUUCAAUUGUUUCAAUGCAUGUUGGUAGAUUAAAAAUAAAUACAUGUGUUCUCUUGA